rnacentral:misc_RNA from 1 species
ACAAAAUGUAUAUUCAUCAUUCACGAUGAUACUCAAGAACUAAUACCCCAAGACAUGUCCAACUAAUAACCCAUAUACUGAAGAAAGUGUACACAAAUAAUUUAACAACACAAUUUUACAAUGAUAACUUGCUCAAAAUUGGCACGAGGCUAUAAGUGCAAGAUAUUGAAAAAGGCUUCGUUCGCAGCAACAAGAUAAAAGAAACUGAUAUUCAGUGAUAUAAACAUCAAGUAACAAGGAAUGGCAAAGGAUAGGACUGCAUAUCGAGUUGCUCGAUAGCAAAAAUGUGGUUACAUUCUAACCUCUAUGCCUUCCUCUGACAGGUGCUCUUUCACGGCUUGAAUGGGAACCUCCUUUCUAUGGAAAAUUCCAGCAGCAAGGGCAGCAGAAGCAUUUGUUUCUCUGAAGACCUCUGUAAAGUGUUCAACAGCUCCAGCUCCACUGCUUGCAAUCACAGGAAUGCUUACAGCAUCUGAAACCAACUUAAUUAGGUCUAUAUCAAAUCCCUUUCCUUGACCAUCACAAUCAAUGCAG